rnacentral:rRNA from 1 species
AGAGUUUGAUCCUGGCUCAGGAUGAACGCUGGCGGCGUGCUUAACACAUGCAAGUCGAACGAGAGAAGAUCGGUGCUUGCACUGAUCCGAUCGAGUGGCGGACGGGUGAGUAACGCGUGGGUAACCUGCCUCAUACAGGGGAAUAACAGUUGGAAACGGCUGCUAAAACCGCAUAAGCGCACAGUAUCGCAUGAUACAGUGUGAAAAACUCCGGUGGUAUGAGAUGGACCCGCGUCUGAUUAGCUAGUUGGUGAGGUAACGGCCACCAAGGCAACGAUCAGUAGCCGGCCUGACGAGGGUGAACGGCCACAUUGGGACUGAGACACGGCCCAAACUCCACGGGAGCA